rnacentral:tRNA from 1 species
GUCAGGAUGGCCGAGUGGUCUAAGGCGCCAGACUCAAGUUCUGGUCUCCUGAUGGAGGCGUGGGUUCGAAUCCCACUUCUGACA